CGGGGCACCGUCGGCAAGAAGGGCUUAAAGGGGCAGAAGGGGGAGCAGGGCCCCCCAGGCCUGGAUCAGCCCUGCCCUGUGGGUCAGGACGGCCUACCCAUACCAGGAUGCUGGCACAAGUGAUUACUAACACGAAGCAUGGCCGUCUGUACAUAUUGAUAUGGUAUAUUUUGCAACUGAUUUUUUAAGGACACUUUUAUAUAAUAUAUUGAGCUUUUUUUAAAAAAUAAUGGACAUUAUAUUGUAAUUGUUCGUCUAUUACCACGACUGUGUUAACAAACAUUUUUGUAGUAUUAUGGAUGAUGAAAAUGGAAGGAUGGAACUUUUUUUUUUUUGCGCAAAAGGAGAAGAGAAAUUAAGUCAAUGAAGCAGCAAGUGGACUUAAACCCUGACGUCAGGGAGACGAGUUGCUGCUAUGGUGACGAUCAGUAGUGCAGUUGAGUUCUAACUUUACUAACGGACUGGCUGGUUUGUUUACCGACGGGGACUGCUGCAUGCGAGUGCACCGGCUGUUCCGUGGACGACGCGGGGCCGGACUUUUGAAAAUCGGUGUUGCCAUUGCUCUUUCUACUUUCUUUUUGUUUCGAAAGGGCGAGCCCGUGUGGCAGAUACGAAAGCGGAAGCGCCUCUCGCAGCCCUAACGGGCGAGAACGUGCGAGGCACGCGGAGUUCUCAGUGGCCGUGCGCUGUACUAAUUAUGGAACAUGUCCGCGACACACCGUCGAGGACUGCACAGUCUGCGAUGCGGAGUUUCGCCAGCAGGUGGAGCUGCGGUGAUCACAACGCAUCAAAAGUGCCUUGGAAACGGAGGUGCGCCUCGUCGCCUGGUUUUCUUCAAGGAGCUGCCAGAAGGGCAAUUGUAACUCUCCUUCUACGCUGAAAAUAUUUUCCCUACAUUGUUAAUGGCCGCUUUGAUUGACUCAAAAAAAAUUUUUGUUGAUUUUUUUUUCUUGGUUAUAGAACAAAAGUUCCCUUCCUAAUGAAACAAUCAAUGUUUUGAGUUUGCCACGUGGCUAAAUUAAGCUCUCGAGUAGUUGUUGGUUCAGUGUUGUGAGAAGUUACUUUAGCGUGGACUUCCCAAAGAAAAUCCUUUCAUUUAAACAUCAGACAGACCAUCUGUUUGGAAAACUUAUGCAUUUGUGUUUCUUAUAUCUUGUACUACUGAAAUGUAGUGAUGACUAUGAUGUGUUUUAGUUAAUCAUUUACAUUUGCAUUCCUGUGCAUGGAUGUCUUUGUAUGAAAUACACAGAGUUAUACCGUAAAUAAUAUGUAUUUGUUUUUUAAAUGAGCAGAAAGAAAACUGUCACGUAAUCAUGCAGGUCGCUUUUGAUUUCUGCCGGCAUCCGCAUGAUUGGACGUGUUCGUUCCUCUUGUGAUGGAUUGGAAUGUGUUAUCUAGAACGAUAAAGAAGGAAUUACCAUUAUUUUUUAAGGUUUUUUGACUUUUUUUUUUUAGCUUUUCUAAAUUAUAUAUUUUCGUGUGUCUGUCUAUUCCUCAUGCUGAGGUAUCAGUAGGUUUCUUUCUGUUAAUAUUUCAAAAAAGUAUUUUUCCAAGGUCUAUAUUUUAGCUUUUGCUGCUGAAGGAUAAAUAUUCUUAUCAAGACAAAAUGUGUCUGUCAAUGGGAUUUAUGUCACCGUUUAGGAGAGCAUGUGUCCUGAGAUGGUCUACAGAGGGAUGUAGGACGUCGGUGUUGAUUUAACGGUGAUGAUUGCUGUUGAUUGUUUUUAUUUCUUAUUGAGAUACAGACAUGUGUAUUUACAGUGUGAUAUAUGUGUCCCGUGUUCAUGUUUUAACGUGGGGUGCUGCUCGACAGGUCAGCAGUCAGUGUGUGUGGGUGCUGUCACUUUGAUUUUCCUGAUGUCUGAAGCCCAUGUAGUCGGUCCUCUCUGCCUCUUCUGCUGACUUUUCUGUUCCACGGUGAACCAGACCGGAAUGGCUCCCUUGUACCUCUGUACCAUUACACCUACAGUACUGUGCAAAAGUCUUAGGCACCCGUAUAACAUUCUGUACAGAUAGGAUUCUUUCAAAAAGAAUUCAAUGAAAGGUCCUAAAUUAAUGUACUAUACAUUUGACAUUGCAUUUGAGUAAUCUGGCAAAAACUGAAUCAAAUCGAUAUUUUUUUGUGACCACCCUUCGGCGUUAUAACUGUACCACUUCCCUGAGAUAUAGAACUGCAGGACAGUGUUGGCUAAGACAAUCAGCAGGGAGGUUGUUCCAAGCAUGUUGGAGAACUUGCCACAGUUCUUCUGCAGACUUUGGUUGGCUUCUUGCUUCUGAUCUCAGACAGUCUUGAUCAAGCUUUUAUGUAAAAAGUAGGAAAUUGCUUACAGUAAUAUGUUACUUUUUCUGGUAGGGGCGGGUAGUUAUUUAACCAGUGACAAUAAGCUUUCUGCUUCAGUAUAGAGUGGGGAUAUGCAAAUUUGGCCCUCAUUGCCAGUUGUGCUGCUGGAUUUCUUUUGGACCUGAUAGUUAAUUGAUUGAUUAUUGCCACUGAUUGGCCAGGGAACCUGCCUGGUGUCCUAGGCCUAAAUGAGACCUGAUUAGAGGGGAAGAAUUAAAUCCAUGGAUUUCUCCUGCCGUUGCCCUUGACCAAGGCACUGGCCUCAGAACUGCGGCUGCCCACUGCUCCUAAGUCACUAGGAUGGGUCAGAUGCAGAGGACACAUUACCCCUCAAGGCUGGUAGACGCCAGAUUUGAGUGUCCCUGGUAUAGAGCUUCUGUCACAUGCUAAGUACAAUUUUACUUUAUAUAGUGGAUGUAUUAGUGCCUCAUACACCAUUGGAUCCAUUCAGUGUAUUUUACUCAUGUGUUAUAUUUCAUGUGUUAAAGGUUAAAGGUACAAUAGGUAAUUUUGGACUUCUAACAGUCAAGAGAGGAAUUGCAGUAACAAACACCCUCAAACCACAACACUUUAUUCCUCCCCCUUCUCUGUCAACGCGCUGAUGUUGAAACCCCCCCAGCUGUACAAUGUUUUGGUACAGAGUGUCUGUCCAUAUUUUGAACCCAAAUUUAAGGACUAUAAACACAAGAAGAGGGUGAGUCAACAUGUCAGUCAGCCUUUUUCAACGAUAGGAAGAGUUUCACAAUGGUCUUGAAACAAUGUUUUAACACAAAAAUCUUACCUAUUGUACCUUUCAUUUUCACUGUCAGAUUUUUCAGCGGCUUUAUGGUGUUAAUUAAUUAAUGAGACUGACACCAUAAUCCUCUGGCUGCAAACGGUUCCUUUUGUGUACAGUGUUGAAGUGGUCCCUUGAGGGUCCUAUCUUAGCUGUCUUAAGGAUUGCCUGAGGUUUUUACGGUCUGAAAUCUCUUCUCCAGUUAACGUCUCUUUAUUGGGUUUAACAGGUUUUUGUUACUUUACAGUGUUUCUGUACAGUUUCGCAAUAUUGGAUUUUAUUUUAUUUGUAUUUUUAUUUUAUUUUUUGCUUGUAUUUUGCUGUGUGUUUGGUAGUUAAAGAGUUCCUGCUAUUUUUGUUACUUUCUCUUGUUUUUGAAAGAAGUGCAUUUUGGUGAUUUAAUAUUAAACAUAUAAUCAUAAAUAAACCCUUUUUUAAAACCA